UCAGAGAGGAUCUUGCUCUGUCAGCUACGCUGGAGUGUGGCAGCAUGAUUUCAGCUCACUGCAACCUCUGCCUCCUGGGUUCAAGCAAUCCUCCCACCUCAGCCUCCUGGGUAGCUUGGACCAAAAGAUAGGGUUUGCAUAGUGACACGUGCAGGUGCACAUGAAGACUGCUCCAAAGGAGAAAACAGUUCCACAGUCUCAAUAUGACAGCAGCAUCAUUGCCCUGACAGUGAGAGAUUUGUUGGCAUUGGAGGAGGAGAAAGCGGAGUCAUGAGACAAAGUGACCAAAUGAAAAUAAUGAAUAUAAAAUAGGAUCAUGGUACUAUUAGUCUCCCUCUGUCGCCCACGCUGGAGUGCAAUGGCAAGAUCUUGGCUCACUGCAACCUCCGCCUCUUGGGUUCAAGCGAUUCAUGUGCCUCAGCCUCCUGAGUAGCUGAGAUUACAGGCACUCACCACCACACCUGGCUGAUAUUUUGUACUUUCAGUAGAGACAGGGUUUCGCCAUGUUGUCCAGGUUGAUCUCAAACUCCUGAGCUCAGAUAAUCCACCUGCCUCAGCUUCCAAAGUACUAGGAUUACAGGUGUGAGUCACUGCAAUCUUUGAAUACAAUUACUCUACUAACUGUAAGUCAACUCAUUAUUACUGUAAUGUAUCUGCUCAAAAUAUUUUCAUAAGUUUGUCCCUUAUGUAUAUUAUCUCUAUCGUAAUGAAAAUAAAGGUAUUUGGAUAUGACUUAACCA
rnacentral:lncRNA from 13 species